GUUCGCAAAAGCACCCACGUUAGUAGAAGAGCCAGACUUUACUCAAAUAAGUCCAAUAAUCAUGCACACAAGACCACAAUCAUGGGAAGAAUUCUAAAGGAAAGGAAGAGACUACUAUGAGAUUUGAAGGAUUGAGAGGAGUGUCUGAAAAAGAUGGUGCUAAAGAAGAAUUUGAAAUUAUGGGAUGCCUACUAGAUGGAAUCUGUGAAACAGCUGUAAUAAUGCAUCCAAAGGUAUCAUGGGAAGAAGAACAGGUAUCAACUGCUUUUCUGGGAAAGCUGUCAGUCAUCACUUUGUUGCCUGCCAUAGGACUGGGUAACAAUGUGACAAUCUUUUGAAGUUGUAAAUACACAAAGGAUGAAGAAGAGAAAAAAAGGUGGAAGAUAAAAAGCAAAAGGGUGAGUGACAACCAAAUUAAAGACCUCAGUGGAGCAAAAUUACAAAUCAGAAGUGAAAAUGGCCCGGGAUGAGUCUGACUUUCACCAGAUAAAACCAGAAAGUCAUAGGAACUGGAAGAACCAGGUACCUUCAAAACCAGGAGGGAAGAAGCAGCCUAAAAUAAGGAAGACAAGGUACCAAGUGCCUCUUGAUGGAGAAGUUGCAAUACCUUAGAGGUCACUCAUCUGCUUUGGGUUGGAGUAGCAGUGUGGCAAGGCACUUCAUCACCAAAGCAACAAGAUGUGGAGCAUGAGCAGUUCAACCUUUGAAGAUAAUUCAGAUUAAUGUGGCCAGCCUCUCCGUCUGAGAGUCUGAUAUCAUAAGAAG